rnacentral:rRNA from 1 species
AUUGAACGCUGGCGGCAUGCCUUACACAUGCAAGUCGAACGGUAACAGGUCUUCGGAUGCAGACGAGUGGCGAACGGGUGAGUAAUACAUCGGAACGUGCCCGAGAGUGGGGGAUAACGAGGCGAAAGCUUUGCUAAUACCGCAUACGAUCUCGGGAUGAAAGCAGGGGACCGCAAGGCCUUGCGCUCACGGAGCGGCCGAUGGCAGAUUAGGUAGUUGGUGGGAUAAAAGCUUACCAAGCCGACGAUCUGUAGCUGGUCUGAGAGGACGACCAGCCACACUGGGACUGAGACACGGCCCAGACUCCUACGGGAGGCAGCAGUGGGGAAUUUUGGACAAUGGGCGCAAGCCUGAUCCAGCCAUGCCGCGUGCAGGAUGAAGGCCUUCGGGUUGUAAACUGCUUUUGUACGGAACGAAAAGACUCUGGUUAAUACCUGGGGUCCAUGACGGUACCGUAAGAAUAAGCACCGGCUAACUACGUGCCAGCCGCCGCGGUAAGAC